CGGUGAACCUGCGGAGGGAUCAUUACACAACAAAAAUAUGAGGGUGUGGUUUGCUGGCAACAGCGUACGCCCCAAGUAUUUUUCACCCAUGUCUUUUGCGCACUUUUUGUUUCCUGGGCGAGUUCGCUCGCCACCAGGACCCAACCAUAAACCUUUUUUUAUGCAGUUGCAAUCAGCGUCAGUAUAAUAAUUCAAUUUAUUAAAACUUUCCACAACGGAUCUCUUGGUUCUGGCAUCGAUGAAGAACGCAGCGAAAUGCGAUACGUAGUGUGAAUUGAAGAAUUCAGUGAAUCAUCGAAUCUUUGAACGCACAUUGCGCCCUUUGGUAUUCCAAAGGGCAUGCCUGUUCGGGCGUCAUUUGUACCCUCAAGCUUUGCUUGGUGUUGGGCGUCUUUUUGUCUCUCCCCUUGUUGGGGGAAACUCGCCUUAAAACGAUUGGCAGCCGACCUACUGGUUUUCGGAGCGCAGCACAAAUUUGCGCCUUCCAAUCGACGGGGCGGCAUCCAGCAAGCCUUUGUUUUCUAUAACAAAUCCACAUUUUGACCUCGGAUCAGGUACGGAUACCCGCUGAACUUAAGCAUAUCAAUAAGCGG
rnacentral:sRNA from 1 species